CCUACGGGCGGCAGCAGUGAGGAAUAUUGGUCAAUGGACGCGAGUCUGAACCAGCCAAGUAGCGUGAAGGAUGACGGCCCUAUGGGUUGUAAACUUCUUUUAUCAGGGAGUAAAACGCGCCACGCGUGGCGUUUUGAAAGUACUUGAUGAAUAAGCAUCGGCUAACUCCGUGCCAGCAGCCGCGGGAAUACGGAGGAUGCGAGCGUUAUCCGGAUUUAUUGGGUUUAAAGGGAGAGUAGAGGGGAAGUUAAGUCAGUCGUGAAAGUUUGGGGCUCAACCCUUUAAGUGCAGUUGAUACUGGUAGUCUUGAGUACACUUGAGGUAGGCGGAAUGCGUGGUGUAGCGGUGAAAUGCAUAGAUAUCACGCAGAACCCCGAUUGCGAAGGCAGCAUACCAGC
rnacentral:rRNA from 1 species